CGCGUAGGUGGUAGUGCAAGUCUGGGGUGGAAUCCCAGGGCUUAACCCUGGAACUGCCUUGGAAACUGUAUUACUUGAGUCAGUGAGGGGAGGGUAGAAUUCCUGGUGUAGCGGUGAAAUGCGUAGAUAUCAGGAGGAAGGCCUGUGGCGAAGGCGGCCCUCUGGCGCUGAACUGACACUGAGGCGCGAAAGCGUGGGGAGCAAACAGGAUUAAAUACCCUGGUAGUCCACGCCCUAAACGGUGGGUACUAGGUGUAGGGCUCGUAAGGGUUCUGUGCCGAAGCGAAAGCAUUAAGUACCCCGCCUGGGGAGUACGGCCGCAAGGUUGAA
rnacentral:rRNA from 1 species